GAUGAACGCUGGCGGCGUGCCUAAUACAUGCAAGUCGAGCGAACAGAUGAGGAGCUUGCUCCUCUGACGUUAGCGGCGGACGGGUGAGUAACACGUGGAUAACCUACCUAUAAGACUGGGAUAACUUCGGGAAACCGGAGCUAAUACCGGAUAAUAUAUUGAACCGCAUGGUUCAAUAGUGAAAGACGGUUUUGCUGUCACUUAUAGAUGGAUCCGCGCCGCAUUAGCUAGUUGGUAAGGUAACGGCUUACCAAGGCAACGAUGCGUAGCCGACCUGAGAGGGUGAUCACCACACUGGAACUGAGACACGGUCCAGACUCCUACGGGAGGCAGCAGUAGGGAAUCUUCCGCAAUGGGCGAAAGCCUGACGGAGCAACGCCGCGUGAGUGAUGAAGGUCUUCGGAUCGUAAAACUCUGUUAUUAGGGAAGAACAAAUGUGUAAGUAACUAUGCACGUCUUGACGGUACCUAAUCAGAAAGCCACGGCUAACUACGUG
rnacentral:rRNA from 1 species